UACGUAGGGUGCAAGCGUUAUCCGGAAUUAUUGGGCGUAAAGAGCUCGUAGGCGGUUUUGUCGCGUCUGCUGUGAAAACUGGAGGCUCAACCUCCAGCCUGCAGUGGGUACGGGCAAACUAGAGUGCGGUAGGGGAGAUUGGAAUUCCUGGUGUAGCGGUGGAAUGCGCAGAUAUCAGGAGGAACACCGAUGGCGAAGGCAGAUCUCUGGGCCGUUACUGACGCUGAGGAGCGAAAGCGUGGGGAGCGAACAGG
rnacentral:rRNA from 1 species